rnacentral:rRNA from 1 species
UACGUAGGGUGCAAGCGUUAUCCGGAAUUAUUGGGCGUAAAGCGCGCGUAGGCGGUUACUUAAGUCGGAUGUGAAAGCCCUCGGCUUAACUGAGGAAGUGCACCCGAAACUGAGUAGCUAGAGUACGAAAGAGGGUCGCGGAAUUCCCGGUGUAGAGGUGAAAUUCGUAGAUAUCGGGGGGAACACCGGUGGCGAAGGCGGCGACCUGGGUCGAGACUGACGCUGAGGCGCGAAAGCGUGGGGAGCAAACAGG